CCACCACCAACCACCUAAUCAUCUUUUCCACCAUAAACUCAGCCUUUGGAUGGCAAAACUCACUUAAGAAUGGUGCAAGUGCACAUAUUGUCUACAGAAAUGACACCAGUGCUUUCUGUGCCACAGUCCAGGCUGUCCUGCAGCACUGCAGGAGCAGCCCAGGAAACGUUUGCUGGUUGCUGUUUGAAAGGAUGUGCAGGGAAAAGCAAUUUUAAAAUAAUUUCUCAGCUUUGACAGGAGUUUAGCAUCCUCAUCCUCCCUUUCUUUGACUGUACAUACUUCAGUCAGUGGAUUUGGGCUCCAGCAGACAAGAUUUAGGACAUGAAUCCCAGCAACUGGUACUGGAGAGAAAAACUUUGUAACUAUUUUAGUCUACCCUAUAGUCAGCAAAAAAUGCGAUUUUAUCCAAGCUUAAUCUUAAACAGAAUGAAUGGUUAGUAGGGUGAAAACCAUUCUCUUCUAGUGCAGGAAUUUCUGCUUGGAAUUUCUGCUACUACCUUCAUGAGCUCCACUGAGGUGGACUUUUGAAAACUCUAAGAAAGUUGGAUUAGGGAACAAAAUGGUAAAAAAUAAAGAAGAGCAAAAUGCCCUCUCAGGGGUGGAAAAGGAACCCACAAAAGACCCUUCUUGUACACCAUGUGAAUUUGAUUCAGGGAAAACAGUCGGACAAAUUACCUCCUUUCAGCCACACUGGGACAUGGAAAUUCUUGGAACAGCUUUGAGUGGGUCCCUCCUACUGGAAAGCAGACCUCAGAGAACUUCUGCUUUGUUUGCCUUUGAAAACUGAGUUGAAAAUUCAAAAAUAGAGAAGGGGAGAGCUUUAGAUAAGGUGAAUCAAGUCUUCUGCACAGGGAAGUUGGAUAGGAAAGAAUUGUUCCAUCCCUUAAGACUUUCUGUGGAUUUAUUUUUCCAACCCACACGGAAACCUCAAGGCUAACAGCAAACAUGAAACAAAAACAUGAAAAACAAUGCAUACGCCAACAAAAACAGUUUCGGCUAUCAUGGAGGGAGAUUGUUUUGAUCUUUACCUGUUUGCAUCCUCUUUUUUAAAUUUAAUAUAUAAAUUAUCCUGCAUUUUGAAACAAAAGCUUUUCUGAAAUGAAAAGUAAACAAACUGAAGGAAAAUGUCAAAGAAGACCGCCAAGAGCUUCAAAUCGCGUCAUUUGUUUCCCAACGGAUGUGAUAUUUUCCAACAGGAAAAGGCCUGAAGUUGGCAUUUCCCAAGAAGUUUUAACUGUGACGCAGUGGCUUCUUGUGGAGGGAUACAAAACUAUUUUCCUUUCCAAAUCUUGACUGUCUAUCACAUCUUUACAGGGUUCUUUUUACAGUGGGAUUCCCUUUGAUAUGGGAGCUUGCAGCAACAUUCAGAGCAUGCAAACAGCUGGUGCCACAAGAUCCUUCCUCACAGGAUGGGAACAGCCAAGUUUCCAAGAGGAUUUAAUCCCCGUCAGACGGUGGAGCACCAAGAACAGCACAGGCAGCACCUUCUCAAGUCCUGACUGCCCUUCAACCCAGCCAGGAUGGGGCUGUCCCUCCUUUCUGAGGUGGCAAAAUCUUCUACUGCCUUCAAACUAAGCAAACAAAGAAAAUGCACCCUUUGCUUUGUGUGGUUUCACUGGCUGGCAGCAAAACAACCCAAGCCGUGAGAAGGUUCAUCCAGAGGUUGGCAGGAAGAUUCUCUUUAAUUCUGUUUUAACAUAACCACAUUUCUUUUCCCCUUUGGAGUGAAACCUGAAGAGCUCCUGGCAUGCCAAAACUUGGAAGAAGUCGCCAUUGUCCAUCAGGGAAGCCCAUUCUCCCACACUCAGCCCCCAGCAGGACCCUGCCCAUUGCCCAGAACGAUAAGCACAUGGUAGAGGUUAGAGGGACCACGACAGCCCCUGGCUGCAGUGACAAAGACAAAAAGCACACUUGAGAUUAAAGCACACCUCCAAGCCUGCUCCGCGAUCCUGAUAAAACCUGCUGCCCAGGAGGGAAUUCCCCACUGCCUCUCCUCCAAGCUCCCAAGCUCACACUCACACUUCUCACUCUGCCCCUCUCGCUCUGUGAUUUUUCAUCUCAACAUCACCCCCCUCUCCCAGGCCAGGCUUCCUCCAGGAUAUUCCACUGAUCUCGGCUCUUGCUUCACCACCAGCGAGGAAGGAGUCUGCAGAAGGUUCCUGUGUGCCAAGGGGGGAUUUUCCUGGGAUUGUGAACACCCCUGGGACAUGCAGGGGAGCCCAAAUGGUGUCAUCAGGGCUGAUCUCCAAGCCUGCGUUCCCCUUUGGAGAAGAAGUUUAUCCUGGCCAAAGCUGUUUUGUUAGACCUGGCCUGGAGCUUUGCAUCAGAUCUGGGCUUGUGCACUUGCCUCUUCCUUGUCCCAUUUGUAGGCUUUGGUUUCUGAGCCGUUUUCCUUUUUUGCACUGUCAGGAGUUUCUUUACCCGUGUUUAGUUGUUGUCAGCUGCAAAAUGUUUGUUAAGCCUCUCCACCAAGCUCUUUAAGUGAACGUCAGUGGCUGUCUUCCCUUGGACAAUAAUGAAUGUAUAUAUCGUAAGUGCAGACUAUACAGAAAAGUGGCUAAGUCAAGGAUCAGAGGGUUUUGUAAAGCCUGUUUAUUUUUUUAAAUAAGUUUGAGCAUUUAUAUUUUACCACCAUUUACGUGGUUUUGGGGAACCCAGAUUGUGUCAAGAUCUCAUGCCAAAACAAGCCAAAAGUUGUUUGAUUUCAACCUUUUCUUCCAUGAACCAUAUUUUAAAUGAUAUUU
ensembl:lncRNA